rnacentral:lncRNA from 10 species
UGUCUUUGAGCUUUUUAGAUUACUUAGAUAAUUGUCUUAGUUCUCCAUUCGGCCUCCUUUGCUUAGACCAGAAUCCCAGGGGUAGGGGAGGAUAUCCUUGCAUCAAUGCCCGGCAUUCGUUUUCAAACCACCAGGCCGGCAGGCAACGUUAGUCAUCGGUGCGACUUUUCAGCGGAGGAAGGAGUGGGGACCGAACAUCUGGGUGGCCGCGACCUUGGGCAGAUACUCCUUAGCUGGGGGAUUUUCAAGUAGAGGAUUUGUCAGCACAGUCCCUCCAAUUCAGCCCCGUCCUUAGUAGAAAAAUUUCUACAAUAAACGAAAAGAGCGUUUGGUUUUCGAUUGUUUUAAAGACAAAGUGAUCCAUAUUGCCUGUCUACAUGGUUGGAUUAAUCCGAUAGUUGCCCUCCUGGGGGCAGACCUCCACGGGAAGUUUGUGUGAUGGGAUAAUUUAAUGUCAUCUAAGUCCCCUGGAGGGGCGGUUCCCCUAACUACUCACCCAGGAGAAAGCCAGCCAACACCUACCUGAUCGUUCCCGCCUCGGGAUGGCCCACCUAUCGCCCCUUGGCAGGAAAGCCCCCGCCUCGAAGGGCGUUUCGGGGGCUCAGAGCCGAGCUAAGCUGCAAGAGGGGGCCAUGGGGAAUGCGGGAAGUGAAUCUUUAACUUUGGUGCCCGGCUUCAAAAGACUCAGGGCUUCUUGUGUUCAGGCAGAGGUAAAUGGAGAUUCAAACUGUCGUCUUGCAUUAACAAUCCGGAAUAAAAAUAAAAUUCGUAAAGGGAUAGAUGAUCGGAAAGAACAAAUGGGGCUGACAAAGAGCCUGGGAACUUGGAGCUUGUGAGUUUUAUGGUCCCAGCUCACUCCAACACCGAAGCCCUCUGAGGCUGUUCAGGGCCGGGGUUCCCAGGCCUACCAGGAGUUUCCCUCUGAUGCCUGCUAGGGGCUUUCCGUGAGCAGGCCUGGCCAUGCCCACACAUGAUGAGGAGACCCGACUUUUCACCCAGAGGUUGCAACCUGGCAGCUCACAGGUUGGAUUCAUUCUGCAAAUGUGUUUUGUUGGAUCCACAUAGUGUUUCCAAACAUUCUGAAUCAUUAUUUUAAAAAUCAGGAAUAUUUAAAGUCUGGAUCUCUAGCUUCUGUUUCAAAAGUCAGACCAUCUGGCAAUACUGUACCUGCAUUCCACAUGACAAUUGGUGACGGGAAGCCCUGUGAACCUGGGGAGGCUAUGAACACAUCUGCGGAUGAUCCUCAAUCAGAAAGCAGACCAUGAGAAAGGGCAGCACACGGAUGCCUGCUCCUGCUCUGCUCACCUGUGCCUCUUUGUGCAGCUGGAUCUGCCAGCCUAUUUGAAUCUAAUCCCCGUUCAAUAUUUGCAUUUUUGUGAAUACCCCUCCCUUUGAUUCUUUGCAAAGGGGCUUGAACUUGAUUGACUGAGACCGUGGAGCAAUGUAUGCACCAGGACACUAUCACAAACAAUAGAGCAACCAACAGGCAAUUAGUAGAGUCUAAUAGCUGGAUGAGAUAUCAAGAGACAUAGAGAUAGACAGCUUACAGACAGAUCAGGUAAACAAACAGUGAAAGAGAAUCCUGCUAAAACCACUGUUAUCCCAUGAUGACUAUGUACGUGCUCAAGGCUGUGCUUUCUAAGGAGCAACAUCAGUGCCUUUACACUGCAGGAAAAGUGGACUUCACCCAGAUGGGCCAGUCAAAUUACUAAACAGAUAAACAACAAAGAACAACAAUCUCCAGAGACAGGGGCUUCAGGGAAAAUCAGUAUUCUGAGUGGCUAUAGUAUAUUAUCUAAAAUGUCAAAUUUUCGACAAAAAAUCAUGAGGCACACAAAUAAACAUGACAGGGAAACUCAUACAUGGGAGGUAAAAGCAGAUAACACAAACUGUCAGAGGGCCCAAACACAAGACUUAACAAAGAUAAUCAUCACAAAUAUAUCCAAAAAACUGAAGGCAACCAUGCUUAAGGAAGUAAGAGAAGAGAUGAUGAUGCUGUCUCAUUAAAUAGAGAAUAUCAAUAAAGAGACAGAAAUGAUUAAAAAGAUUCGAAUGGAAAUUCUGGAGUUGAAAAGUAUAAUAACCAAAGUAGAAAAUUCACUAGAGGAGUUCAACAGAAGGUUUGAACUGCCAGAAAAAAAGAAUCAGCAAACAUGAAGAUAUAUUAAUAGAGACUGUGAAAUAAAAAACAGAGAGAUAAAAAAUGAAGAAAAAUGAACAAAACCUCAAAGAAAUGUGGGACACCAUAAAGUGUACAGAUAUACAUGAUGAUUAUAUAAGAAGAAGAGGGAGAGGAAAGAGCAGAAAAAAUAUUUGAAUAAGUAAUGGCUGAAAUGUAUCACAUUUGAUAAAAAAUUAAUAUACAUAUCCAAGAACCCCAACAAACUCCAAGUAGGAUUAAUGCAAACAAAUCCAUGCCCAGACACAUCAUAUUAAAAAUGUUAACCCUCCAAAACAUUAACAGUUGACUUCUCAUCAGAAAUAGUGCCAUCCAGAAGGCAAUGGGAUUCCAUAUUCAAAGUGCUAAAAGAAAAAAUCCAACCAAGAAUCUUAUAUCCAGAAAAUCAAUCCUUCAAAAAAGAGGGUAUAAUAAAAAUAUUCCCAGAUAAACAAAAACUAAGAGAUUUUAUUGCUGGAAGACCUAUCUCACAAGAAUACUCAAGGGAAAAAUUUUCAGGUUGACAAGUGACCCCAGAUGGAAUUUUGAGUUUACAUAAAAAACAAAGGGCAUCAGUAAAGGUAAGCAUGUAAUUAUAAAAGACGUGGAUGUAAUUAUAAAAUAAAUGGAUAUUUAUUCUUUCUUCUCUUAACCUAUUUGAAAAGCAGUGGUAUAAAACAAUAUGUAUUUAAUUGUAUUGUUGAGCCAAAACAUAUAGAAAUGUAAUAUAUUUGACAAGAACAGUAUCAAGGAUGUGAAUGUGAACAAAGCUGUAUUUGUGUAAGACAAUAACACCAGAUGGCAACUGGAAUGUACAGGAACAAAUGAAGAGGGCUAUAAAUGGUAAAUAAUAAGGUUAAUGUAACAAACUUCAUAAUUAUAAACUUGUUCUCCUUUCUUCUCUUCUUUAAAAGACAUAAAAUUAUGUAAUGCAAUAAGUAUAACUGUACCAUUGGGUUUGUUAUAUAUAUAUAUGUAUAUGUGCUAUUAUUGUUAUAUAUAUAUAUAUAAUAGCAUAAAAAAGGAUGGAAAGGUAUAGAGCUAUGUAGAAGCAACACUUCUAUAUCUUAUUGAAAUUAAGUUACUAUAAAUCUGAAGUUGAUUCUAAGUUAAGGUGUAUAUGAUAAACCAUGUAAAAGCCACUAAGAAAAUAACUCAGAAAUACAGUGAAAAAUUAUUAAAGCAAUUAAAAUAUUACACAAGAAAAUAUUUACUUAAUGCAAAAGAAGCAGUAAAGGAGAAAUAGAUGAACAAAAAAGACAUGAGAUAUGUGAUAUGUAGAAAACAAAGAGCAAAAUGACAGACAUAAGUCCAACUUUAUUUAUUUAUUUGUUUUUUUAAUUAUACUUUAAGUUCUAGGGUACAUGUGCACCACGUGCAGGUUUGUUACAUAUGUAUACAUGCGCCAUGUUGGUGUGCUGCACCCAUUUGUCCAACUUUAAAAAAUAACAUUAAAUGUAAAUGGAUUAAACAAUCCAACAAAAAGGUUGAUAUUUUCAGACUGAAUAAAAAAAUAAGACCUAACUAUAAGCUGUGUGUAGGAGACACACUUUAGAACUAACAAUACAAAUAAGUAAAAAGUAAAAAGAUGAAAAAACAUUUAUCAUGCGAACAGUAACCAUAAGAAAGAAGUGGCAGCUCUGCUGAUAUCAGACACUGUAAAACAAAAAAUGUUACUAAAGGCAAAUACAAACAUUUAAAUUGAUCAAAUUUAUCAGAAAAAUGUAAUAAUUAUAAACACAUAUGUACCUAAUAAUAGAGCCUCCUAAAAACAUGAAGCAAAAACAGAAAUGAAAGGAAAAAUAGACAAUUCAACAAUAAUAGUUGGAGACUUCAAUAUCCCACUUUCAGUAAUGGCUAGAACAACAAAGCAGAAGGAAGUAGAAGAAGCAAGGAAGUAGAAGACUUGAGCAACACCAUAAAUCAACUAGGUCUUUGAAAUACACAUUUCACCCAAGAGCAAGAUACACGUUCUUCUCGAAUGCACAUGGAACAUUUGCCAUAAGAGACCAUAUGCCAGGCAGUAAAACAAGCCUCAAGAAAUUUUUUUAAAAAACUAAAAUCCUAUAAAGUAUGUUCUCUGACUACAAUAGAAUGAAACUAGAACUCAAUAACAGAAAGUUUGGGAAAUUUACAAAUAUGUGGAAAUUAAAAACACAUCCCUAUGUAACCAAUACAUCAAUAAAGAAAUCACAGGGGAAAUUACAAAACACUUAGAGGCGAGUGAAAAUGAAGAUAUAAGAUGUUGAAACUUACGGGAUGCAGCUAACGCGGUGUCUAGAGGGUAUUCAAUAGCUGUUAAUACCUCUGUUAAAAAAGAAGAAAGAUUUUAAAUCACUAGCCUAGUUUUCCACCUUAAGACACUGAAAAAAGGAGAGUAAAUUCAAUCUAAAACAAGCAAAAGGAAGAAAGUAAUAGAGAUUAGGUCGGCUAUUAACGAACCAGAAGAAAAACAACAGAGAAAGUGAACAAAACCAAAAGUUGUUUCUGUGAAAAGAUCAUCAAAAUUGACAAUUAGCUAGACUGACCAAGAAAAAGAAGACUCAAAUUACUAACAUCAGGAAUAAAAAAGAUGACAAUUCUAUUGACCUCACAGACAUAAGAAGGAUUAUAAGGGAAUACUAUAAACAUUUAUAUGCUAAUAAAUUCAAAAAACUUAGACGAAAUGAACAUGUUUCUAGGAAACUCAAACUACUAAAACUGAAUCAAGAAGAAAUAGAUAACCUAAAUAGACCCGUGAAAAUGAAGAGGUUGAAUUAGCAGUUUGAAAACUUCCCACGAAAAUGGCCUAGGCCCAAAAGCCUUCACUUUUUAAUUCUCCAAACAUUUAAAAUAGAGUUAAUACAAAUUAUUUUUUUUUUUAAAGAAAAAGAAUAGGAGGGAACAGUUACCAAGGUAUUCUUUGAGGUCAGUAUUACCCAGAUACCAAAACCAAACAAAGACAUCAUAAAAGAAAGGAAAAAAAAAUAGGAAAUAGCCUUAAAAGGGCAAAUCCAAGUGUUGUUGGCCUUGAAGAGGUGGUAGAGAGACAGGAGCAGAACGUUUAUUCAAAGUGAUAAUAACGGAGGACUUUCCAAACCUAGAGAAAGAUAUUAAUAUCCAAGUAAAAGAAGGUUCUAGACCACCUAGCAGAUUUAACCCGAAGAAGACGACCUCAAGGCAUCUAAUAAUUCAAUCAUGAAGGUAAAGGAUAAAGAAAGUUUCCAAAAAGCAGCAAGGGAUAAGAAACAAACAACAUACAAUGGAGCUCCAAUACAUCUGGCAGCAGACUUUUCACUGAAAACCUUACAGGCCAGGAGAGAGUGACAUAACAUAUUGAAAGUGCCUAAGGAAAAAAACUUUUACCCUAGAUUAGUAUAUCCAGUGAAAAUAUCUUUCAGACACGAAGGAGAAGUAAAGGCUUUCCCAGACAAACAAAAGCAGAGGGAUCUCAAUACCAGAUCUGUCCUACAAAUAAUGCCAAAGGGAGUUCUUUAAUCUGAAAGAAAAUAACAUUAAUGAGCAAUAAGAUGUCAUCUGAAGGUACAGAACUCACUAGUAAUAGCACACAGAAAAACACAGAAUAUUAUAAAACUGUAAUUGUGGUGUGUAAAUUACUCAUAUUUUAAGUAGAAAGAUGAUAAGAUAAACUGAUCAGAAAAAAUAACUACAUCAACUUUUCAAGACAUAGUGCAAUAAGAUAUAAAUAAAAACAACAAAAAGUUAAAAAGUCUGGGUGUAGUGGCUUACGUCUAUAAUCACAGCACUUUGGGAGGCCAAAGCAGGCAAAUCGCUUGAGCCCAGGAGUUCAAGACCAGCCUGGGCAACAUGGUGAAACUCUGUUUCUACAAAAAAUUAUAAAAAAAUUUAGCUGGGUGUGGUGAUGUGUGCCUGUAGUCUCAGCUACUCGGGAGGCUGAGGUGCGAGAAUCACUUGAGCCCAGGAAGUCAAAGCUGCAGUGAGCUGUGAUUGUCUGCACUCCAGCCAGGGCAACAGAGUGAGAUACUGUCUCACAAAAAGAAAAAGGUAAAAAGAAGGGAGACAAAGUUGAAGUAUAGAGUUUUUAUUAGUUUUCUUUUUACUUGUUUGUUUAUGCAAUCGGUGUUGUCAUCAGUUUAAAAUAAUGGAUUAUAAGAUAUUAUUUGCAAGUCUAUGGUAAUCUCAAAUCUAAAAACAUACAACUGGUACAUAAAAAUAAGGAGCAAGAAAAGAAACAAUUCCAGUUACAAAGAAGAACAAACUAGAAGGAUUCACACUUUCUUUUCUUUUUUCUUUUGAGAUGGAGUCUUGCUCUUGUCGCCCAGGUUGGAGUGUAAUGGCACGAUCCUGACUCACCGCAACCUCCGCCUCCCGGGUUCAAGUGAUUCUCCUGCCUCAGCCUUCCGAGCAGCUGGGAUUACAGGCCUGUGCCACCAUGCCCAGCUAAUUUUGUAUUUUUAGUAGAGAUGAGGUUUCUCCAUGUUGGUCAG